AGGGUUCCGGUCUAAAGGCACGGUUUUGACUGCUCCUACAGUUUUGCUUCGGUACUGCAGACGAACUGACGCCCGGCCCAGAAAGACAAAUUCCAUACACGGCCACAUAAACAAGUCAAAUAACCAAUAAGACACCACCUACAGCCAAAGAGGGGUGCGUCACUGAUGUGAUCUUCCUGCCUGGGUUGGCAUCCCCCCCUUGGGUUGUGCCGUGGCGGAGAUCUUUGUGGGCUAUACUCGGCCUUGUCUCAGGAUGGUAAGUUGGUGGUUCCUGUCUCAGCCUCCAGUAUUUAUGAUGCAGCAGUUUGUGUCGGGAGGCUAGGGUCAGUUUGUUAUAUCUGGAGUACUUCUCCUGUCUUAUCCGGUGUCUUGUGUGAAUUAAGUAUGCUCUCUCUAAUUCUCUCUUUCUUUCUCUCGGAGGAUCAUGCCUCAGUACUACCUGGCAUGAUGACUCCUUGCUGUCCCCAGUCCACCUGGCCGUGCUGCUGCUCCAGUUUCAACUGUUCUUCCUGCAGCUAUGGAAUCCUGACCUGUUCACCGGACGUGCUACCUGUCCCAGACUUAUUAUUUGACCAUGCUGGUCAUUUAUGAACAUUUGAACAUCUUGGCCAUGUUCGGUUAUAAUCUCCACCCGGCACAGCCAGAAGAGGACUGGCCACCCCUCAGAGCCUGGUUCCUCUCUAGGUUUCUUCCUAGGUUUUGGCCUUUCUAGGGAGUUUUUCCUAGCCAACGUGCUUCAACACCUGCAUUGCUUGCUGUUUGGGGUUUUAGGCUGGGUUUCUGUACAGCACUUUGAGAUAUCAGCUGAUGUACGAAGGGCUAUAUAAAUAAAUUUGAUUUGAUCCAAUGCAAUGAAAAAAAAUACCAACAUUUUGUUUAUUUUUUAUUUUCUAUAAAAGAGAUGAGUUUACUCCAUGAUCAUAACAGAUUUAAUCAUUGACCUCGACAGACCACUCACAUACCAAACAAUAAUCGAGGAAAAUGUUACACAAAACCCCCCAAAAAAAACAAGACCAAAAAUGUAACACAAAAUAAAAUACCUGAAUAAAGCAAACUCUGCUGAGCACAUUCUGAAGAAGAAUCCAUAUUUAUGGCACAUCAUGUCCAUCAGUUACCAUGGGGAUAAAAUAAGGAAU